AGAAACAACAAGCAGCACCAGUCCUUUUGAUCAUUGUUUUACAUAAUGAUAGAUAUCCACACCAAAGAUCAUGUGAAACAUUACUUGGUUUCCACCCCCACCCAAGAUUUUCACUCUGUUAAGAAGAAUUUCCAACUUUCAAAACCUUUCCAGAAGAACAUCUGCUGCACCAUCAUAUCUGGAUUCCCCCCAAUUAGAAUAUUCCUCACCAUAUUUUUGCUGCAACUGUCCUUGAUAAGUAUUGCAUAGGUCCAAACAUCUGAAUCCUUUGUAGCCCCAUUCAUCAUAGAAGUUUGUCCUAAUCUCUAAACAUCAACAGCUUUACACCCCAGAAAAGGCAGCUUAGACCUUGGAAAAUAAAUUUCAAAAUACUACCAGAAAUACUAGGAGCUCUUUGAAACAUUCAACUUACAAUUUGAUUUGGUGUUGUGCAGGAGUUCCUUAGGCGUGAAAGCAACAGAAGUCGC
rnacentral:lncRNA from 1 species